UCCUGGAAUGUUCGAUACUCUUACCUUUUUUGAACCUACAUUUUGACCAAAGGGAUUCCAAUAUUUUUAAGCGGAUGUCAGGCCUCCUUCGAGUGGAAGGCAGAAGUUUAAGUGAGGUUGCCCACCUAGCAGAGCUAGGCGUCAAUAUGGUAAGAACCGGCAUUUUGGGGUU
rnacentral:other from 1 species